AAGACCUUGCGCUUUUGGAGCGGCCGAUGUCUGAUUAGCUAGUUGGUGGGGUAAUGGCCUACCAAAGCUUCGAUCAGUAGCUGGUCUGAGAGGACGACCAGCCACACUGGGACUGAGACACGGCCCAGACUCCUACGGGAGGCAGCAGUGGGGAAUUUUGGACAAUGGGCGCAAGCCUGAUCCAGCCAUGCCGCGUGAGUGAAGAAGGCCUUCGGGUUGUAAAGCUCUUUCAGCCGGAACGAAACGGUUACGGUUAAUACCCGUGAUUACUGACGGUACCGGAAGAAGAAGCACCGGCUAACUACGUGCCAGCAGCCGCGGUAAUACGUAGGGUGCAAGCGUUAAUCGGAAUUACUGGGCGUAAAGCGUGCGCAGGUGGUUUUGUAAGUCAGAUGUGAAAGCCCCGGGCUCAACCUGGGAACU
rnacentral:rRNA from 1 species